AAGAAGCGUCUUCCGCGCUGGACCRUGCACAAGUCUCCUGGAAUGGAGCGUCAUAGAGGGUGAGAAUCCCGUCUUUGGCAUGGAUCCCAGGGCUUCUGUGAUGCGCUCUCGACGAGUCGAGUUGUUUGGGAAUGCAGCUCAAAAUGGGUGGUGAACUCCAUCUAAAGCUAAAUAUUGGCGAGAGACCGAUAGCGAACAAGUACCGUGAGGGAAAGAUGAAAAGCACUUUGGAAAGAGAGUGAAACAGUACGUGAAAUUGUUGAAAGGGAAACGCUUGAAGUCAGUCGCGUUGACCGAGACUCAACCUUGCUUUGGCUUGGUGUAUUUCUCGGCUGACGGGUCAGCAUCAAUUUUGACCCUCAGAUAAUGGCAAGGGAAAGGUGGCACCUUUUAGGUGUGUUAUAGUCCCAUGUCGCAUGUGAGGGUUGGGAUUGAGGAACUCAGCAUGCACCUCUGGGUGUCGGGGCUUUGGCCCACGUUACAUGCUUAGGAUGCUGGCGUAAUGGCUUUAAACGACCCGUCUUGAAACACGGACCAAGGAGUCUAACAUACCCGCGAGUGUUCGGGUGGAAAACCCGURCGCGUAAUGAAAGUAAAAGUUGGGACCUCUGUCGUGGAGGGCACCGACGCCCGGACCAGACCUUCUGUGACGGCUCUGCGGUAGAGCGUGUAUGUUGGGACCCGAAAGAUGGUGAACUAUGCCUGAAUAGGGUGAAGCCAGAGGAAACUCUGGUGGAGGCUCGUAGCGAUUCUGACGUGCAAAUCGAUCGUCAAAUUUGGGUAUAGGGGCGAAAGACUAAUCGAACCAUCUAGUA
rnacentral:rRNA from 1 species